UAUAUAUUGGCUGGUGCAGAGUUUGUCGGGGGGGGGGGGGUCUCUUUUUAUACAUCCAUGCAGAGCGCGGUCAAGUCCAGUGCACAACCUGGGUAUCAGCUUGCCUGGCAGACUAUGUUCAGGACAACAAAAGCCCAACAACAGUGUUUUGUUGCACAUGGGUGGAGCAUAACACCCAGGGGUAUCUGACAACCAGACCAUUACUGCAUGAUAUUUCCAUUUCUGCAGAAAAUGGAGCACGGAGCAUGCUUUCGGGGCAGCAAAUAAGUGCAGCUUUGAAUGCUGCCAUGACCCACUUUCCCCCAGGGGUUCAUUAAAGUUUCAUAUAAUCUAAUCUAUUUAUGGAGUAUUCAAUGAACACAGAGGCAUUUUAGUUUGAUUUUGACAUAAAUAAUCACAUAUAACGAUACAACCUGACAAUACAAUAACAUAAAAGAAAUAAAGAAUAGAGGGGAUGGCUACAUAAAUACUUCAACGAAUGACAAGAGAUGUAUAAAAAUACAGGUGCAUUGCCAAGGCAGACAACUGAUGCCAGUACAGCAUGAAAGACUGUGGACCUUGUGAAGUGGUUGUUGGAGGAGAACAGUGGGAGUGCUGUGCAUUAUUUGGGCAUGUUGGUGUUGUAUCCUCUCAGCACUCGACAGACACUGCAGCGGGUCCUGAAGAACAAAGCGGAGGAAAAGAAGGAUUGGAGCCAACGGGAAUCCAGAAAACAAAGACAAUACUGACCCUUUUCAGAGAGAGGGCAGAGUUAAGAUGCAGCUCUGUUUCUUAAAAGGAUACUUAAGAGCUAAUCAAGGUGGACCUUCACUGCCUAUAUUGCUUAAAACAUACAGCUAAAAAUAGCUGUUUGAAAAAGGCAGACAGCAGAUUGAGACAGGUUUGUGAAUUUUCACCAAAAAUGUGUAACAUGGCACAGACAUCCUUCUCCUCAGCCACGUCCUCCAGCUCCUCCGGGGUGAUCCCGAGGAGUUCCCAGGUCACAUGUAAUCCCCUCAUUGUGCUCUAGGUCUGCCCCAGGCUCUCCUCCCAGUUGGAUGUGCCUGGGAGGCAUCCUUAUCAGGUGCCCAAACCAUUUCAGCUGGUUCCUUUCAAUUUGAGGGGGAAGUAGUUCAAUUCACAGCUACUUUCGAAUCUUCUCCUCAUGUAAAUCCUUAGGGUGAGCUCAGACACGCUGCAACAGAAGCUCACCUUGGCCACUUGUAACAGCAUUGUUGUUUCAGUCACUACCGAGUGUUCGUGACCACAGAGGUCGUGUCAGUUUGAUUCCUCAAAGUUCUCCUUCCACCACUACACUACAUCGUCAGGUCAGCAUUUCUCUACCCCUGCUUCCUGACCCAUCUGGCAGGUUUUUCUAACCUUUUCCAUGGCCCAGGGGCGGUUAUAGGGGGGGUCAGAGGGGGCCAGUGCCCCCCCCUUCCCACCCAUAAUAUUAAGCCUGGACCUCCCUCCGGCCCCCCUGACUGUGGCAAAUAUUUUCAUACA